UCCAGGCCGCAGGACUCAGCGGUUCGCUCCCAUUUCUUCCAGUAUCCCUCCUUAUGGUCCUGCAGGCCUGAGUUCCUUCUGUAAGGAUGACCUCGCUUCCUUCAACUCACGACAGUUGUGGGAAUCUUGAAGUCAGGAAUGAGGUCUUCACAUUUCUGGAGCCUCCUACAAAAUGCAUGCUCAGCGGAGCCCUGGGGAGGAAGCUGCAGAUGACAGGAAGAUGGAGGAGCCGAACACGCCCGUGGGGCUCAGACAGCUGCGGGCCUUCUCUGCCUCCUUGACAUUGAGAAUUCUUCACAUCUUAGAAGCAAAGUGCCAACGCUCUGCCAUCUCAGAAAAUGAUAAAACCCCCAAAUCAUGACCUUCAGUGAACAGCGCAGACAAAAUACACAGCGGCAAGAAUGAAGAGAACAGGUCUGAGGCACCGUUUUCAACUGAGGCUGGCGGAGGAAACAAAGCGUGUUAGGGGCCCUCGCAUCUCCCGGUCUCAUAUUACAAACGUGCAGCAGAACUGCGUGAGCAAGAGCCGAUGGCCCUGAGAAAUCAUUGCUCCUGUACUAUAUUGUGAAAGUUUACAGUUUUG